GGUAGAUAUAGUUCAAUUGGCAGAACGUGAGGUUGUGGCUCUCAAUGUUGUAGGUUCGAGUCCUAUUAUUUACC
rnacentral:tRNA from 1 species